rnacentral:rRNA from 1 species
AGACCGGUUUAUUGGUCGUGCUUUUGUACGUACUGGUAUUAUUGGUUUCUCCUUUCUGACGAAUCUUAAUGCCAUUAAUUUGGUGUUUUGGGAAUCAGGACUGUUACUUUGAAAAAUUAGAGUGUUUAAAGCAGGCUCACGCUUGAAUACAUUAGCAUGGAAUAACGGAAUAGGACGUUUGAUUCUAUUUUGUUGGUUUCUAGGAUCGACGUAAUGAUUAAUAGGGAUAGUUGGGC